rnacentral:rRNA from 1 species
GGAGGGGGCUAGCGUUGUUCGGAAUUACUGGGCGUAAAGGGCGCGUAGGCGGCGCGAUAAGUUGGGCGUGAAAGGCCCGGGCUCAACCCGGGGACUGCGCUUGAUACUGUCGCGCUGUGAGUCCGGGAGAGGAUGGCGGAAUUCCCAGUGUAGAGGUGAAAUUCGUAGAUAUUGGGAAGAACACCGGUGGCGAAGGCGGCCAUCUGGACCGGCACUGACGCUGAGGCGCGAAAGCGUGGGGAGCAAACAGGAUUAGAUACCCUGGUAGUCCACGCCGUAAACGAUGCGUGCUAGACGUUGGGGGGCUUGCCCUUCGGUGUCGUCGCUAACGCAUGAAGCACGCCGCCUGGGGAGUACGGUCGCAAGAUUA